rnacentral:sRNA from 1 species
GGAGGCUGCGGCGCGGCGCUCGCGGUCCUUAGGCUUGGCGGCGGCAGCUUCGCGCCGAGUCCCCGGGGAGCGGCGGUGGCGGCGUCCUGGGGCCGGGAGGAGCGAACACCUGCCGCGGUCCUCCCGCCGGCGCUGGCCUGGGAUCUCCUGAAUUUCCAGGUUGGGCCACUCAGGCAUGGAUUGACUCCUACAGUUCAGGCGGAUGGAGAUCCCACCAGCCCACAGCUUAAUUCUUCAGAUGCUUUAUCUUCGUUUCUCAUGUAUCUUCAGUUGGCUUCUAAUGCUCUGUGUGCUCCGGGAUGGAGCAGGUGUGCAGAGGGUGAGAACCCAGCUCUGGGACCAAGUCACUUGCUU